UACGGAGGGUGCAAGCGUUAUCCGGAUUCACUGGGUUUAAAGGGUGCGUAGGCGGGCAGAUAAGUCAGUGGUGAAAUCCCCGAGCUUAACUUGGGAACUGCCAUUGAUACUAUUUGUCUUGAAUGUCGUGGAGGUUAGCGGAAUAUGUCAUGUAGCGGUGAAAUGCUUAGAUAUGACAUAGAACACCUAUUGCGAAGGCAGCUAACUACGCGGAUAUUGACGCUGAGGCUCGAAAGCAUGGGGAGCAAACAGG
rnacentral:rRNA from 1 species